AGAAGAUAACUACAGUCCAAAUAUUGUCAAUUUUUAUUAAAUUUCACUUAAAACCAAAGGAUAUUCUGGAUUGGUAGUCUGGUACAGAACUUUACUACAUACUAGGAAAAAUCGCCAAACCCUUGUUUAUCUUUUGAAAAAUCAAUAAAGAGCUUAGAAUUUUAAUAUCUUUAUUGUAUACAGGUGAGGCUAAAUUGACACAUAUGUGUAAAAACUAGUAACUAUGACAACUAAAGUAUAGUGACUUAGCUAAGCAUUGCUUACUUUGUCAAAUACCUCAGCUCUGUGUUUUGGGUCAAUUAGUUCACACAGUUGCUAUUAGUUAUAAAUAAACAUAUGUGACAUAGAUGGUCAGAAAAACAGACAUGAAGAUAUGUGUCUAACAACAUAGGGGUUAAGUGAACAAAUCUGAGCUUCCAUAUUUAUGUGUUCUUAGUACUAUAUUCUUAACAUUUCAUCUUUCUAUACCAACUGAAAUGUUAAGAACUGAUAACUAUACAGACCGUGGGAUAUGACAUGCUUGCCAUCUUCAAUAAAGAAAUGCAUAACACUGAAUUCAAUACACAUAUCAAACUUCAUUUCCCUACAACAUUAUGGAACAGAGAAAUUGGGUAUGAUAUCUGAAUAUAUCUAAAGUACAGGCAAGGCAAAGAGACAUCUUAUACAUUUCUCUCCUCUGCUAACUUUUAAAAAGGAAUGUGCCAAAGAUUCUGCUUUUCAUAAACAUCUUGAAGCUUACUUUCUUCUCUUAUUUAAUAUUUCAAAUUACAAAAGAAGAUAGGAGGAACAAGGGAGUCCAUGAAAGUGAUUUUAAGUGGAUCUUUUCAAGAAUUGCGAGAAACAAAACUGCUUUUGACUGGAGUGUGAUUCCUGAGAAACCCUAAUCUUUGUCGUUGUUUUAGAGAGGACCCAUUGGCAUUCUUUUAUGACUUUUCCUUGAACAGAGAUGUGGGAUUGACCCUUCUUCCCACUGAUUAACAUGCAGACAUUACAUAUUAGUUAAUUUUCCAACAGAAAAGCCCUCACAGGUGUACAGACUCUGUAUUAGAAUGGGAAUAAACUCCCAUCUCAGUCGUCUGGGCAUAGGCAACUGAAGGAAGAGUGUCUAUGCUAUUGAUCACCAAGGGUAUGUGAAAUAUGAUGCACAAGUUCUCCACCAGAAUUCCUGAUGUGUCCUUAUUUCUCUCCUUGUAUCUCCUUUUUUUGUUGUUGCUUUGUGUCUAUUUUAUUUUAUUUUCAGUUCGAAAUGACUAUGAGUCUCCAAUGAGGUUUUGUUUGGGUCUGGUUAAUAUUAAAGAUCACACACGGCUUAAAAAUAUUGUUAUUUUUCUUUAAUGGGGAAAAUUGGACUCCUGCAUGUCAGAUCUGUGGAUUUCCGAAAGGCAGUGGGAAUGGUACUGACAUCACUUUGCACUUUAACAAUCCGAUUUGGUCAGAGUACAAGUUGUUUGUUUAACCCGACCACUCGGUGCACCCCAUCGCACACUUUGCACACUCAUUAAAACGAUUAUUCACGACCUGUCGAGUGUUUUCGGGUUCAUUCACAGGAAAGGCUUGUAUCCAGAGAGCAAUUCGAGUCAACACUGUCCACUACACCACGCACGUGAGGACUAGCUGGUGCAUGCGUGAAAGGCUAGGGGAGGGGUUGGUGAGUGAGUGUCUUGGCUGCAAAAUCCCGUUCAACGCGAGACACCAAGGAAUCUCAACCGCCUUAGAAUGCUUAGAGCUAGCUCUUGGUUCCCCGACACUGCUACUUCACUACCUAGCUUCAAAGACUUCACAAGGAAAAAGAAAAAAGAAACAAAUAAAGCCCGCUUUCUCUCUCCAACUCCAGGCUGCUCCUCUCGGUCAAGAAAUUCCUAUCCGGAGGCUCCUUCCAAAAUAUCCGUGGAGUGGGCAGAAACGGGGAACCAGACAGAAGUGAUAGAGGGCUAUUGUAACAUCAGUUUUACCAACCACCGGUCAUACAGACCACUGGAGAAGUACUUUGACUCUACGCACACUCGUGUUGAACAGUUCAGACUUCCUUGAUUUCCAAUUUGGCAACUAGAUGAAGAAACUCCCUCGCUGCUGCAUUUUAUAUCAUUCCUCUGUUUAUGUGUUAACGAUCGUGCUAACUUUCAAUUAUGUCAAUUAAAGUAAAAUACUCAACGUGUACUAUUAUCAUUUGGCAUUUCUAUUAUUAAAUUGGGAUCAUUUUCUUUUCCAAAAUUAAAAAAAGGGGGCAGCCUCCCUUUCAUUUUAAGCAAUUAUAAGUUUGAAAGAAAAUAAUCUUCAAAAAGUUUUGAAGUGUUGGUCUGGAAUGAACUAACUGUAACCGGUAAAAGUUGGUGACAGUACACAGUAAAACAUUGUAUCCACCAGUCUGAAGCAAAAUUAAAUGUACCAAUGCCAUACCAGAUUGUUAUUUUUCAAAGAGGAUAUCAAGGGGAGAGUAGGCUAGAUCAAGAUAAAUGAAAUAAGAAAUGUUCACACAUUGGGCUUCAGAAAGCCGUUACCAACUUCUCUCUCUAUAUAUAUAUUUUUUCAUGUCUAGGAAGCCUAACAAACAAACUUCCAAUAGCAUCACUACAUUUGUAAAUCAGACAUGUGCACACUUCUGCUCCAAUACCUAGGUCUAGGAACACAAAAAGUCACCUUCACUGUGUACCUGAAAGCACAAAAAGUUGCCACUGAAAUUGUCUAUCUUCUAAAUAAACAGUUUAUAAAAUCACA